rnacentral:tRNA from 1 species
CCGGCGUUGCCGCGGUUCGUACGGGUGGGUCUGGCGCAGCCGCUGGAUGACGUGCGGUUCCCCGCCGUCGUGCC